GACGAACGCUGGCGGCGUGCUUAACACAUGCAAGUCGAACGGAAAGGCCCUUCUUUUGUGGGGUGCUCGAGUGGCGAACGGGUGAGUAACACGUGAGUAACCUGCCCUUGACUUUGGGAUAACUUCAGGAAACUGGGGCUAAUACCGGAUCGGAGCUCCUGCUGCAUGGUGGGUGUUGGAACGUUUCGGCGGUUGGUGAUGGACUCGCGGCUUAUCAGCUUGUUGGUGGGGUAGUGGCUUACCAAGGCUUUGACGGGUAGCCGGCCUGAGAGGGUGACCGGCCACAUUGGGACUGAGAUACGGCCCAGACUCCUACGGGAGGCAGCAGUGGGGAAUAUUGCACAAUGGGCGGAAGCCUGAUGCAGCAACGCCGCGUGCGGGAUGACGGCCUUCGGGUUGUAAACCGCUUUCGCCUGUGACGAAGCGUGAGUGACGGUAAUGGGUAAAGAAGCACCGGCUAACUACGUG
rnacentral:rRNA from 1 species